rnacentral:rRNA from 1 species
UACGAGGGGGGCAAGCGUUGUUCGGAAUUACUGGGCGUAAAGGGCUCGUAGGCGGCCAACUAAGUCAGACGUGAAAUCCCUCGGCUUAACCGGGGAACUGCGUCUGAUACUGGAUGGCUUGAGUUUGGGAGAGGGAUGCGGAAUUCCAGGUGUAGCGGUGAAAUGCGUAGAUAUCUGGAGGAACACCGGUGGCGAAGGCGGCAUCCUGGACCAACACUGACGCUGAGUGAGCGAAAGCCAGGGGAGCAAACGGG